rnacentral:rRNA from 1 species
GUGUCAGCAGCCGCGGUAAUACGAAGGAUCCAAGCGUUAUCCGGAUUUAUUGGGUUUAAAGGGUGCGUAGGCGGACUAUUAAGUCAGUGGUGAAAGCCUGCAGCUUAACUGCAGAACUGCCAUUGAUACUGAUGGUCUUGAGUACAUUUGAGGUGGGCGGAAUGUGUCAUGUAGUGGUGAAAUACUUAGAUAUGACACAGAACUCCGAUUGCGAAGGCAGCUCACUAAACUGUAACUGACGCUGAGGCACGAAAGCGUGGGGAUCAAACAGGAUUAGAAACCCCCGUAGUCC